AUGAUGCAAAUCUUCGUGAAGACGUUGACAGGAAAGAAUAUUGCUCUUGAGGUUGGGAGCACGUAUACCAUCGACAAUGUCAAGGUGGAGAUCUACAAGAAGGAAGGCGUUACCCCAAACCAGCAGCGCCUCAUCUUUGCUGGCAGGCAGCUUGAGGGUGGCUGCACCCUGGCAGACUACAACAUUCAGAAGGAGCAUACCAUUCACUUGGUUCUCUGCCUUUGUGGUUGCUGA
rnacentral:rRNA from 1 species